CUGCUGCCUUCCGUAGGAGUUUGGGCCGUGUCUCAGUCCCAAUGUGGCCGGUCACCCUCUCAGGUCGGCUACUGAUCGUCGCCUUGGUGAGCCGUUACCUCUCCAACUAGCUAAUCAGACGCGGGUCCAUCUCAUACCACCGGAGUUUUUCACACCAAACCAUGCGGUCUUGUGCGCUUAUGCGGUUUUAGCAGUCAUUUCUAACUGUUAUCCCCCUGUAUGAGGCAGGUUACCCACGCGUUACUCACCCGUCCGCCA
rnacentral:rRNA from 1 species